GAUGCAAUGGGGAAGAAGGGGGUAGAAUAAGGUCAGGUGAUUAACUCACGUGUCUUAUACCACAGUAGCUAUUUCCCUUUUUGUCUUCUUAUAAUAUUUUGGUUCUGGUGUUACGAAAUCAAUCAAUCUAUAUUCUAUAGAUGAAGUGGGUGGGGAAAGAGAGGAAGAAAGGUAAGUUGUUAAAAUGAAAGAAACAACAAUGGGGUGGUUAAUUUCUUGUAAGUUGUUAAAAUGAAAGAUGAACGAUUUCACUGUACUUGUGGUUGGUUCAACUGUACCGUCAUGACCCAAUGGAGACUCACAUUUCCACUGUGUUCUGUAUUUGUGCCCGAGCUGCUAACCUUCUGCCGAGCUAUAGCUAUCCCAACCAAUGCAUAUCACAACGAUGACAUGCUCUGUUCUAUCGGAUGAGUUCCCGGCCUGGAUCUUAUAGUAAGAACCAGUGCGUGCACACUGACAGGCACGCCACCACCUUGACAAACUAACCAUGGACAACUUUGCUAUCACGGGAUAUGUACAUUGUUACACACACCUGAGACACCGACGGCGAACUACCCCCAACCGCCACCGGGGCGUUCGAGUGCCCCACUAUGCUUCUCCAGGGAGAUGAAAGAGGGGGAAGGAAAGAACACACACACCAACAGCUACAUUCUUCUCCCAUCUCAGCGGGGCGAAGACAACACCCUGAAGUUGUGCGUGGCUCUCUAAGAAAUAAUGAAGAAACGACAGGCAGGAAAAACUGAUAAGCUACACGGAAGAAAGAAGAGAUCUAAUCAGUUGGCACCAAUCAUUGUUGAUGACAAUCUAUAAUCUACACAGUUGCUACAAGGAUGCAGGUCAAGUGACAAUCAUAAGGUUGUUUUCGUUCCCAUGGUUGUUCACGCUAGGGCGCAGCGGGUCGUUCUUCCAAACACCAUCAACAAUAAAUUUAAUCUGAAGCACAAACCAACACCCACUAUCAGAUGACGAGAAAGCAGUGACAAUGAAAGCAGAAUAGCACGCCAUUACCUCAUAUCUACCGGGAUACAACCUCAGGUUAUACGAAAAAAUGCCGCUUUCUGAUUGUUCCAUCCUUCUCUACAAAAAGGAAAUAGUCCAGUGUUUGAUUAUACUCAAGAAUAAGACGAUAGCGAUGAUGAUGUGUAGAUAGAUGACAAAACGUGUCAUAGGCACAUGGAACAGAGUGUGAUUAAGCAGGCAAGCACAGAGCUAUAUAUAUUACUCCCUCUGUACCGAAAUACAUGUCGCUGGAGUAGUUGACUUACUGCUACUCCAGCGACAUGUAUUUCGGUACAGAGGGAGUACGUAACAAAGAGACUUCCUGCAGUACACAGCCCAAAGCAGACAACAUUCCAUGGACAUUCAUAUAAUUAGAUGUUUAAAUAUUCAAUAUCUUGAAAGUUAUAUCAAAGGAGCGACAAGAGAGGUGAAAUGGCAUAACAAAUUCAUACUCCCUCCGUCCUGAAUUACUUGUCUUAGAUUUGUCUAGAUAGGUACAUCCCUAUCUAGACAAAUCUAAGACAAGUAAUUUGGGACACAGGUAAUAUUUCUUACUCUAGAACCAAAUUUGAUUUGUACUACUAACAUUCUUCUGCUGGCUGAUCUGAAUUGUGUUGUGUGCUCCAUGGAAAUGCAAAUAUCAUGUAUACAAAAUAAAACUAAACAGCACCCCCAUACAUAUGAAAGUGAAACUAAGAUCUAUAAUGGCAGAAUGUUGUCCUUCAGGCUUCUACAUCUAGUACCUAUCCUAUAUGUGCUUGAACUACUGAACAUCCUUUUGGAUAUGUCAGUCAUGUGACCAGUAUCCUCCUAGGAACUGACUAAAUCUCAGCUAAAGGUACCAGAUAAAGAUAUACUCCCUCCCUAACUUAAUAUGAGACAUUUUUCACAUUGUCAUAGACUCUAAAAAUGUCUUAUAAAAAGUUGCAGAGGUAGUAUAUUUGUUGCUAGGUCUUGCCUAGUGAAGCUCUUGUAAAAUUGUGCUGCUUCAGUUUCCACUUAAUAUAAAAUGAUAAAUACAUACUCCCUCCGUUCCUUUUUAUAAGAUGUUUUUUUAAAGUCCACCUUUUCCAUCUUUGACCAAGUUUAUAUAGAAAAAAGUAUCAACAUCUACAAUGCCAAAUCAGUAUCAUCAGACCCUUCAUGAAAAAUAUUUCCAUAUUUUAUGUAUUUAGUAUUGCAUACAUUGAUUCUUUUAUAAACUUGGUCAAAGGGAGAAAAGUUUGACUUUCCAACAAACCAAUACAAGCCAUAAAAAGGAACGGAAGGAGUAUUAACAAAUAUAUGAAGAUUCCAUGUGCUUUUCCUUUUUCUUUUGGCAUAUAAAACAAUGUUUCUAAACUUCCAAAUCCAAAUAGCACGUAGUAUUUCUAACACAAAAGUUAUGGACACGUGUUGUCACAAUUGUGCCUAUGCCAAAAACAGCACCAACAACCAAAAUCAGAUUAAAAACUUGCUUUACUCCUAGAAACAUAUACGUAAUAAACAUCUUUCAAAGCACUUGGGCGCCUUCGAUCCCUACCAUUCUCGUAACUAUCAUGUUGCUAGUUCCUGAAGUUACUUUACUUGUGUGUGAACCACAUCAAAUUAAGUACUCCCUCCGUAAUAUGGACCGGAGGGAGUAUUGUGUUUGUUUUGCACUCAUUAAGAAAUGAAUUAACUGUGCACAUGAUAAGGUGUUGGCAGUAAAUUGCAUUUACACAACUUAGGAGAGCAGCAAUAGAUCCAGCUUCUCUCUUCAUUAAUAUUCAACUUAAUACAUAAAUCAAUGGAAUUCACCUGACAACUAACACCAAAGAGUGAUAGAAAUUGAAAUCACGAACUGCCACUCAUUUUAUAGUUAGUUACUGAAGUUUAUAUAUUUACUAAUUAAGCAGAGAAUAGGAACAUGCACUUACUUGGCUUGUCCACCCAUCAAAAGAACCGGUCAAUAGAACUUCUGAAGCAGGAUUGGGCCAUACAACAGAUACUGUGCGGAGCUCACUCAAAGCCUUCUCAACUUCAUCAAGCCUCGUUUGCUUUUCUUCAAUUAUUUUGUUCUUCUCACUGAUAUCAACAGAAUAAGUCAUAAAAGAGAUUGAUACAAAAUAAAAAGCGUAGAUGAACAACAUUCAAUUGUGAGUGACCAUACAUUAUUUCUAGCGCCACCUUGCCUUCUAAUACUGCUAUUUUAGCACGGAUUGUCCGUAAUUCUUCCUGGGCAUGCAUUACUUUUGUCUCUUCAAAUUCCCAAUCAUCAGAGAACCCAUUUACCACAUCUGCUUCUUCGCCAUUUGACUGGAAAAUGGAAGGGCAAAGAUGGAUGCUCAGAACAAGUAUAUUGCCUCUAGAAAAAUCAAGAUGAGAUGCAUCAAGAUCUUCCAUUAUCGUUUUAGUUUCAUAUCAGCGUGGGCCAAGUCUCGAAAAUCAGAAACUUCCUACCAGUAAUACAAUGGUUCUAAAAACAAGAAUGUGUAAUAAUUUGCAAACUAAAUCAUUGCGACCAACAAAGCAUGGAAACGGCCGAAACUGCCGAAUUGCCGUCCUAAUUCGUUGCGACACGGCGAUAUGGCCGGACAUGCCAAGAUACGCGUGUCCCCCAGUAUCCCCUGAUUUCCUAAUUAAAGAAAGGAAAAAACAAAGACACAGCUGGGAUACGUAUGGAAUACGUUGGGGACACAGGAAGCUCAAUAACAGCCUUGGCCCGAUACAAACCCUAUUUUGCAAGGUCGCACACACGCUUGCCACUAAAGGAACGCUGCUCCAAGUCGAACGCGCUAUCACCGCCGCCCCCUGGACUCAACCGCCCGAUGGCAACCACGCUCAAGCAGAUAACCCCAGCAGCCUCUUCUCAACCUCUUCAUAUCUUUGCUCGAUUUCUUGCUGUUGAGUCUGCUGCUUGCUUCCCCAUGCGUCCAUGCCGUUGCUGCUUGCUCUUGAGCUGCUGCUCACUUGCAUGCUGGUGCCUGGUGCUGCUGUUUUGAUUGUUGCUUGAUGUUAGGGAGCAUGGCGUUUGGGAGCGCCACCACCGGUGGCCAAUCGUCCAUGGGUGAGGGUGAAAGUUACACCUGCAUCCUUUGUUGCAUGUCUUCUCCAGUCUCUACUCUCUAAUAGACUAAUACUAGCAUUUGAUGUAUUUUGCAAGUUGCAAUGACAUGGGUCUAGAGGAUCAAUUAAUUCAAUCAUUGAGCACUUGAAAAACAAUACAACAAAUGGAAAUGGGGCAGUAUUCUGAUCUUAUCUCAGUUUCUCUUCAUUUUUUUAACUCUAUAUUACAUGGCAUGUUUUAAUUUUUUUCAUAUAUACUCGCCGUAUCCCUGAAUGGCUGUUUAAUGCCGUAUCCCGUGUCCCCUAGGCGUAUCGCUGUGUCCAUGUCUCCGUACCUGUGCUUUUUAUUUUGCGACUAGCUAACUACUUCCUCGUAGAGAACACAACUACAUUCAGCAAUCAGCAUUGCAAGGGAAUAUUAUUAGCUAUAGUCAUUUGUUUGCGUUGCGAAAUCACAACAUUGCAAGAAAAGAUAGUGGAUAUACAGUGAAUAUCUACAGAUAUAAAAUCAAAAUUUAUGGAAGUUGUUCCGUUGGCAAAUGAACUUGUACCAUUUUCAUGUUGUCAGACUGCAUAUUGAUGAGGAUACUGUUACAGUGUUAGUCAAAAUCAAAAAAUUUGACUGCAUGCAUCCAAAGAUGGCACUUUUCUAGUGAUGGGCGAGGGUAUGAUGCAGACAGUGUUUAGUGCAUAAAGAGAAAAUUAGAGCAAGCAGAACCACAUCUUCAGGUGUGUUUUGUUAGGAACAGCAGAGCCAUGUCUAGUACAAUGCAUAAACAACUUUACAAAUGCAUAAGUGAAGAAAACUGAAUGCAAAACCACACUAAAAUCUCAAGAUCACGUAUCCCACCAGUAUUUCACAACAAAAGAUAGAUAAGUAAAGAAGAUGAUACGAGAGACGAGACACACCAUAUAUGACGAAACUCCAUCAAAUCUUGAUCUUAAUGUCUUAAGAGAAUCUGCAAGAUCGAAUUCCAAAUUUUGAAAACGUGCAUGUAUCUCAUCUCUUUCAGAGUCUACAUGAUCACUAGGAUAAUCAUUUAUAACCACACCAUUAGAUGGUCCAGGAACAUCAUCUUCUAUCAACACAGUGUUCAGGUCAACAUGUUUUGGUGGUUUUCUGCUCAAAGGAUGGAUCUCAGCGGCUGUCAGCAUAUUAAACAUGUUAUGAAAUAAUCAUAACAGAUAUGAUGCGCAACGAAAGAAAGUUAAGUUAUCAUAUAACCUUCAAAAUCAGAAAACCGACUCUUGUCAAGAGACCAUGUUCGCCAUGCAUCAUUGGCCGAACUACUUGAUUUGUUGUCCUCUGGUAUUCCAUUUUGAGAAUGAGAGCGGUGUAUAUUUCCAUUCACAGGUAUCCUUCGAGUGUACAUGCCAUUAGUUGGACUUCGACUAGGAGCUCCAUUAUGGUUCAUUAAAGCUGCAUGUAUGUAACACAGAAGUAUGAUCAUUAAUAUACAAAUGAAGAAACACCAGCUAGAAAUUAAGUAUAUGGUACAUCAGAAUAAAGGUUCACAUACAUAAUUAUCCAGAAGCUCUCUAACAAAAAAUAUCCAUUAGUUGUCCAUCAAUAACAAACCAACGCUAUUUUCUAUUAUAUAAGGUGGAACUCUUUCAAUUUUCCUCUCCGAGUCUCCAGCCAAAAGUUUACAAUGUGUACUUUUUACUGUUGAUACUAAUAGAGUACCGAGAAAAUGAUCCGUGUGCACUAAAUCAGUAAAAUACCUAAACACAUGGUCAAUCUUAAAGCGGUCAUUAAUUAGUAAAUAUAUUUGCAAAACGCAGAGUCUACUAACUUCAAUCAACCAUGUAUAUCUAGGGAGCAUGGACCCUUCAAUUCAUUUAGGUGUUAGGGGGCAACUAUUAACAGCAGCAUAUUUGAAAUAGAAAAUGAAUUAUCCUCCGUGUAUUGUAAGAGAUUUAACACAAAAAAGCCAUUAGCUUGGAAGGACCAAAUGCUGAAAUGGGCAGAGUAAUAACAAAGCUAAACCAGUUGUAUGUAACAGAACAUAUUACUACUAUGAUUAAAAGGCACAAACAAAAUAAUGUGGUAGUCUUCUGUAGAUUCACGAUUACUCAAAUAAUUGCAGUGCUGUCAAGGUGCAAACAACUUUACAUUAAGCAGUAGCACGACGACAAAAAAUAUGUCGGAUCAUGAGAAAGAAAGUUCUAACGCCACGCUUCUAUUUUUAGAAAGCGACAUAGAACAAAAAACGGUAUGUUUGUCCCCUUUGCAACCUUAAAUGGAAAGCGCUAAACUACUGCACUGCUAGUUAUAUAUGUCGGGGGAAAGGGAAGUCCGGUCCGUGAGAACAGACAGCUUUUGCAUGAACUAUUGUCGGCGGCACUUCCUUCCUGCCCGGCAUGAGCUUAGCAUUAAUUUUAUCCAGCAGAGCAUUAAGCCUUCCACGGGCUGUAACUAAACAAUAUGGCACAAUGAGCUGUAUACUAUGCAAAGUUUCAUUGGUUGCAAAAGUUGGUGUUCCCUUAUCAACAAACAUAUAACUGUUUGCAAAGAAGAUGCUCAUGUUGCACAACUGAAAACAACACAUGUUUCGAUAGAACGCCAAGAGUCGAAGCUGCACAUACCGCCAUUUUGACCUCGCCCUCCCGCUUGAUUCUUGCUGCGUGGCGGUGGCCGCGCACGCUCCCUCUCUCUCCGCAGCCUGGCGAGCAUUCCCUCCAGGCCUGCCCCAGACCCUGCCUCCCUGCAAUCGAUUACGUAGCAACAAGCAAAAUCAAUAAGGAACCAGCAUAUAUCAAUCAAAAUAACUCAAAAGAGAUUUAGCAGGCACCCACUCUGUCUCCUCCGUCUCCGGCUGCCUCCCAGACGGCGCCGGUUCCUGCUGCUCCCUGCAACACUCGGAAUUCAGCAAGUCGUCGCAGAGCAAUCAACAGAGGGGGACACAUUACAUUACAGAGCGGCUCGGUUACCCACCUUACGGAAUCCGCGGCCGAGUUUGGCGGUCGGCCAGAAGGACCCGCCUCGGGCGGGUAUUCAGGGUGCACGCCGGGGCCGGCCGUUGACGCAGCCGGCCGCCGCGCGUCGUCGUCGGAGGACCAGGACCAUCCGAGGGAGAGCCAGCCUCCGCUGGACUCGACGGCGGCGGCGAGGUCGGCGCGCCCCGCGGCGAGGAGCUCGGCGCGGGUGGGGAAGGCGCCGGGCUUGUCGGAGCGGCGCAUGAAGUCGUAGAUCGCCUCCUCGAGCUCCUCCUGGCCCCGCGGGCCGCGCUGCGGCGGCGCGGGCGCAUUGGGCGGGCGCGGGGCCGGGGCGGGGGCGGGCUGGCGGCGGUAGGGCUGCCGCGGCGGGGGCCUGUAGGCGGCGCAGACGCAGACGCGGCCGCGGCAGGGCUGCGGCCCGUAGGCGGCGGCGGCGGCGAAGACGCGGUGGCGGCNNNNNNNNNNNNNNNNNNNNNNNNNNNNNNNNNNNNNNNNNNNNNNNNNNNNNNNNNNNNNNNNNNNNNNNNNNNNNNNNNNNNNNNNNNNNNNNNNNNNNNNNNNNNNNNNNNNNNNNNNNNNNNNNNNNNNNNNNNNNNNNNNNNNNNNNNNNNNNNNNNNNNNNNNNNNNNNNNNNNNCGAGGGGAGGAAGGGGGGCAUCGCCGUCGCAUUUCUCUGCCGCUCCCCGAGCGGCGAGGGCGGGAGCUUUCCCUGGACUGGAGAGCGGAGGAGGGAGGGGGGGAAACGGGGAAAAAAAACUGAGCCACGCGAGCGCCGUCCACCACCACACACGUCACGUCCCUGCCGCGGCGAGCUCUCCGUGACCCGUUGCCGUGCCUGCGUCUGGCCUCGGGUGUGCGUGCGUGUGGUAUGUCGGCCUGGUCGACUGCUACGCUACCCUGCGCCGCCGUCGCCACCGGUCGCCGUCGCCGCGCUCCGCUGGCCACAGAUCAUCGACGUCCGGGCCACGGAAGGGCGGACUUUAAUACGCUUUGCUUUUUGAUUGAUCGGUCGGUCGAUGGAGGCACGGCGUGACGAACGAUGGAAACGUCGAGGCGUGUCGUGUGAGAACCCUGGUGCGUGCGUUCUGCGCUUUUCUGGCCGACGGCUCUACUCGUGGUGCACCCCCCUCUUGGAUAAGUUUUCUUCUCUUUCUUUUCUGAACUCCCCUCUUGGACACGUUGAUGUGUGUGACUUUUUGUCAAUUCGCUGGACGCAAAGUUAAAAGAAGGGACAUAUGGCCCUGUUUGGUUCAGCUUUUAUCGACGGAUUACGCUGCCGCGCAGCAGAAUCUGAAUCAAAGGGCGAACCUAGCAGAAUCCGAUUUCAGAAAUCCGCCAUCAAAAUUUGAACCAAAAGCGGAAGCAGCCCAGGACGUGCUUUCCAAAAUCUGAUUCCGCUGCGGGCCAAAAUCUGAAAAGACUGUAUCAGCUGGUUUGACAAAUGACCUACAUCUUUUUCACAUCAGAUUUUCUACAGCUGUUUUUCUACAGCAGAUUUUUCACAGCUGCUUUUAGAAAUCCACAGCCGAACCAAAUAAGGCCAUUAGGGCGUGUCCAACGCCGACCCGCGACAGGACACGGUAUUUGUCCGAAAAUGUUGGCCUUAAAAAAGUAGCGGCCGUGAUUUGUAAUUUGUCUAAGAGCUAUAAGCUACUAAUUUCCGUCAAUGCUACUCAUAAGCAUUUGGCGGAAAGCUAGCUUUCGCCAAAUGAAGUUACUAAGAGCAUUUCCAGCCGCGUCUCCAACAGCCCCCAGGUCAUUUUUUGGGCGUCGACGUAAAAAAAAGCCCUAGUCGUGCCCCCUAGGACGUCGAAAAGCGCCGGUUCGGCCCGUUUUUGGGCCUGGCGCUCGCAGGCCGAACCCGGCACACUGGGGGGCGAUCGGGGGCUCCGGCGCAAGGGAAAAGCGCGGCUGGCCCACCCCGUCAGGUGAAAAGUCAAGUUUUUUUCCCGUCUCGCCUCUCACACCCCGCGCCCUCGGCCGCCACUAGCUGUAUCCCGGCGCCGAUCGCUGCCCUUCACUGCUAGAUAGCCAAUCCCCGCCGGAAAAAUAGCAGAGUUCGCCGAGGCAGCCCCUCCACCAGCAGCUGGGCGUUUCCGGCCGCUGAGGGGCAGUUUAGCGGCGGGUACACGCCCACCGGCGCGCAAGGUGUUCGGCGAUUUGCCUCCCUCGGCGAGAUGGCACUACUAGGAAAAAGCCUAGUAGUAGCGCGGGUUAAAAGCUAGUAGUAGCGCGGGUGCCUGCGCUACUACUACGACGCUACAACUAACUAGUAGUAGUAGCGCGGUGCAUCCCGCGCUACUAGUACGUGUGUUAGUAGUAGCGCGGGUUCGACACGCGCUACUACUAACUAUCUGUAGCGCGUGUCUGUGACCCGCGCUACUACUAUUAAUUUGAAAACCAAAAAAAAAU
rnacentral:lncRNA from 1 species